rnacentral:rRNA from 1 species
AUUGAACGCUGGCGGCAGGCCUAACACAUGCAAGUCGAACGAGUGGCGGACGGGUGAGUACUGCCUGGGAAACUGCCUGCUGGAGGGGGAUAACUACUGGAAACUGUAGCUAAUACCGCAUACCCUCGGAUGUGCCCCGCUGGGAUUAGCUAGUAGGUGGGGUAAAGGCUCACCUAGGCGCCGAUCCCCAGCUGGUCUGAGAGGAUGACCAGCAACAGUGGGAAUGGGACACGGUCCGGAGCCCUACGGGAGGCAGCGGUGGGGAAGAGUGCACAGUGGGCGCAAGCCUAAUGCAGCCAUCACGCGUGUAUGAAGGAGGCCGUCGGGUUGUAAGGUACUUUCAGCGGGGAGACGUUAACCGCAGAAGAAGCACCGGCUAACUCCGUGCCAGCAGCCGCGGUAAUAC